CUCAGAGAGCCCUGUACAGAGACGUCAUGCAGGAAAACUAUGAGAAUGUGAUCUCGCUGGGAUUUCCAGUUUCCAGACCUGAUGUGAUCUCCCAGCUGGAACAAUGGGAAGAGCCAUUGGUCACAGACCUCCAGUGUUCAGAGGAAAGAGAGAUCCUGAGAGUUCCCUACACAGCAGGUGAUGCAAUGGUGUGUGAGAAAGAGGAGCAGAAUUCUCAGCAGGAAAAUGUUGAG